GACGAGAGGCCCAAGCGUUAUUCGGAAUCACUGGGCUUAAAGGGUGCGUAGGCUGAUGUGUAGGUGUGUCGUGAAAUCCCUCGGCUCAACCGGGGAACUGCUAUGCAAACCACACAUCUUGAGUCAGGUAGAGGUUGUCGGAACGUUCGGUGGAGCGGUGAAAUGCGUAGAUAUCGAACGGAACGCCCAUGGGGAAGCCAGGCAACUGGACCUGUACUGACGCUGAGGCACGAAAGCGUGGGGAGCAAACAGG
rnacentral:rRNA from 1 species